UAUUGAUGGUCCAAGACCAUACAUAUUGAUAGAUAGAACGACCAUUUAUUUGCUGAAUAGACAGAUCGAUCGAAAAAAAUCAUAAUUAUACUUAAAUAA